rnacentral:lncRNA from 1 species
ACAUUAAAACUCUUACUCAUACCCUGGCAUAUAAUAGGCCCUCAAUAAAUGCCAGGUAUUAUUAGGCGAUAGCAGUGCCUAAAACUCCAGAUCCCCUGCAUUAGAUAGACAGGGUCUGAAUCCUGGCUCUGCCAUUGUGUGACCGUGUAAGUCUUUGGACUUCAUUAAGAUUCAGGAUUCUUAAACAAGAAACAGCCAUAAUAUUGGUGUUUUAUCCAACAGAUCAAAUAAGGUCAUGCAGGCAAGGUUCCUCAUUCAGGGCCAAGCACACAGGGAGCUCAGAAAAUGGUGGUUAUGAAGAUUGGCCUAUUGCGAUGGCACCUGUUUCCUGUGUAACACAGACCAGCAAAGCUGCAAAGUUUCUCCAGGCCAAAGGACCCUUGAAAUUUAAAGCUGAGUCCCAAGUACUAGAAACUCCCAAGGGACUUACCUGCCUUGUGCAACGGAAUUCCCCGCACGCCCAGAGCCCAGCAGAGAGGAGGCACUCCAUACACGCCUUCCAACCACCAACUGCUGAAGGAGGCUCAGGUUAAGUCAUUCUCUUCAGGCUCCAGGACAAGCGGGCCCGGUUUGUAGGUUACAGCCUUAUCUGGGGACCCUCGUUUUCCACCCCAGCUACACGUCUGUGAACAAUCGCCUCUCUCCGGCCCCUGAAAGGAGAGCGAGCGCCCCAUUUCUGCUGAAUGCACACGUCUCAGUUCAUCCAAGGCUGGCGGGCUUUUGAUGGCCACAAUGCGAGUUACGCCCAAAGAGUGUCUCUUUGGUCAGAUCGACAACGCUUGGCUUCACGUUUGCAAGUUAAACGGGCAGAAACCCGGCUGAAACUCCCACGCCAGACGCCGGGGACGCUUCCCUCCGCCCAUUUGCUUUGUCGGCAGCUUUACCCCAACAAACAAACAAAAAAUGAGAGCGUUUUUCUGCUUGUCUUCACCUAGGUAGCUGCUUUCUUCCAGGCCCUGAAAAUGUGACUCCUUCAUAAAAUCAAAAUUUAUGAUUAUUCAAAUGUUGGGGACUGUGAAAAGAGAGGAAGAAAGAGAGAAAAUUAAUAUUGCAGCUGUUCUUCUGAUUAAUGAGAGAUAAUUGCUCAUGAAAAGUCACCCCUGUGGCAUUUUGUUGUCUCCUGGAUCUUUGUUCUUUUCCACUAUUAUUGAGGACUUUCUUGAAGACUAAGCGGUUCUUUUCAAUUUUUGGGUAUUCAGAAAGGGUUGCCUGGUUACAGAGAAUGGGGAAAUCUCGGGCUAUAUCGGGUAAGAUGUGCCACAGACAGCAAUAUCACAAUGCCACUCGGAGAAAAGGAUGGAUACAAGUUAACGAUGCGCUUUCAAUAAAACAUUCAUAGACUUGUUCA